AUUGCAUCUACUAUGGCUAAGGAGAAGACCAGCAUUUCCAGGACUGUCAACUGAACCUCCUUCACACUACAGACACAACUUUAUAAAUACAAAAAGAAAAAGAAAAAAUUGAACUGUGAUCUUUCUGGAAUGGAGAUGUAUCCAAAAGAACUGUGCUUUGGGUUGUACAGCCUUCCCAAGGAGUCAGAACAAAUAUCCAGACUUCAACACGAGACCAAGCAGAGUUGCUCAGUCCCUGUGGAGAUGAGAUAUAGAACUGGAGAAUAUAAACAGAUGUGGAGACAUUUUGAUGCAUUUCUGAAAAAACAAAUGACAUUUUGCUGCUAUAUUUUAGAGUUCACUCCAGCCCCCUUAUCAAGAAUAUGAUGCAAAAAACAAUAGUCACUUCAUUUUCAUUUCUCAGUCUGUCUGGAGAGCAAAAGGCACAGUCAUCUAGUAGAUGAGGUAACAUCAGAGCCUAACAACUGUUGAGAAAGUCUUGUAGAGUUUAAAAUGCUGAAGAAAAAGGGAAGAAUCAUUAAGAAACUAUAAAUCUGAAGGAAAUCAAUAUGAUAGUCUAAGAUCUUGAAAUAGCAUAGCAUGUAUUUUUAUUUAGUAUUGCAGGCAGGUUGAUUAGUACCUGAGGGAGAUUCUCAGAAUCACAAAAUUGCAUGGGCUGGAAGGGACCGCUGGAGAUCAUCUACAAGCCAGCACAAUGCAUCUAACCCAAUACAGACUAAAAGAUUCCACAGAAACAAGGAACUAUAGGGUACUGGAGCAGAAAUGCUAAGUCACAGCUUGAACCAGUGAUUGAGCACCUGGUGGGAAGGCAGGGCCAACCCAGGGGAGCUCAGGUGCAUGCAAUGAGGAUCCGCCCGAUCCUGGCUCCACCCCUUCCCAGACCUCAUUUAAGGACUGGCAGUAGGGGCAAGAGCAUCUCACUGGAGAUCCCUGUGUAGUAGAGGCCUUCUAAAGAAUAGAUGCCCCAGGGGAACAGAAGAUUGAGCAUGCUGCCCUUUGGCCAUUGGCACUAAUUUGCCAAUUCAGUAGAGAUGACAAAAGACGAAGUGGGGAGUCCACGCCCAUCUCAGGUAAAAGAAUUGCCUGUUUCAAGAAAACUGGGAAACACUGAUAGGACAAAAUAAAUGGGAGAAGAACAAGACUCCUAUGUCAUCUUGUGGACUUCAGACACAGCGCCAGAUCAAACGUAGUUAUGGUGAGAAAACAUUGAUAUUCUGCCUUCUCCUUGAGCAUAAAGCAGACAACAAACACCUCACUUUAACCUGUAAAUGCUAGGAGGGCUUUGUAUGGACGCUCUAGGUUUGUUGGAAUUUUCUUCCUUCUAAAACGAAUCUCAGAGUCACUGUAGACUAAGAAAAAGAGCAGAUUAAUCGAAUCGGCCUCCCGAACCACCCAGAUUGUACUUCACAAAGGUUUCUGUGUGUUCUUAGCAAGGUCAAUUGACUAAGUAGUCAUCUGUGAGUGUGGAUUCUUGUCUCUUUCUCUCCUUCUCUCAAAUUAGGAGAUAUCUGGGCUUGGUGCUCUAUUUUGCCAGUUGCUCUGGCUUCAAAUUUUGAAUUUUUUUUAAAAAAUUACAUAGUUGAGUCUAAUGUUCAAUUUCAGUGGUUUUCAGGGGAUUAUUUGUAGUGCCUAUUCUGUUAUACAGAGAAAUCUUUCUUUAAAAACACGAUCCAUCUUUCUAGUAGUACUUCAUUUAGAAAUUCAGAGUGGGCAGAUAGCCCUGAGAUAUGGAUAUCCUCUUCUUUCCCCUUCUAUCUGAAAAAGGGGAAAAAAAAAAUCUAGUAUUUUUUUCAGUAUUGCUGAUGUCCCAGACACGUCUGAGUAACUGUCAUGUACAAUCAGUAUCUAUCCAUGGGAAUCUCAUAGAACCAGGGUGGUUUUAAUGUUCACCAGAAUAUUUCUGUGAGAGUUCCUAGGAUGCCAGGGAAAGCACUGACUGACCACAGAAAACAGAUAUGAGACAAGUGCAUGAUGACUUUUUUUUUUUUUAAGGAAAAAAGUAUUAAGGAUCCAACUGAGAACUACACUGACAUAACCAUAUGUACUUUUGGUCACUGUUAAGUCUGUGUUUUCCAGCCUGUUAACUCCACGAGAAUAAGACAUAGCUGCAGUAUGGAGCUGAGUCAGUUUGGAUUCAGCAUUUAAAGAAAGAAUGGAAGAGAAGCAACCAGGUGUCAAAAGAUGUAAGUAGGUUAGAUCACAAUGAGGAGAUAGCCUUCCCAUCUGCUGGGAACUCCUUUGCAAGGUAAGACUGUUAGAUGUACAAGUCCCUGGCUGGGACUGGUGAAGAGGAUGUAAGCAUGGAAACUAACAGAGCUCUACUAUGAUCAAGUAGGGGAUGAGGGCAGCAUUCCCUAUAAAAAGGAUCUUGAGGUCCCUGCUGAGGUGCCAAGGUUGAAUAUUUUGCCAGAGGUGGAAACUGAAUUGAUUUGUGCCCCUCAGGCUAGCUCCAGGAACCUCACUCCUGCCUGAGAGCAUUAGUCCACAUGUGGAGAGAGGCUUUUCAGCUGGAGACGAGUUUAUGGCUUUUGACUUUUUCAUGUUCAUGUGUUUUUAUAAAGCCACAAUCGUUUUGUUUUUUUUUUAUUGGGCUUUUAUAGAAAGGUCUCUGAAGUCUAGCAAAAUCUCAGCUUAACAGUAGAGAUUGUGCUAGAGAGACAUAUAAGAAGUAAGAGGAAAUAAGAAGGCCAUGGGAGAGAUGGGUAAAUACAGAAGUGCAAGCAGAGUUCUGUCAAAGCAAGUUUCUGACUUACACAUUUAACUUUAUCCGUCAGCCUAGGGGCAAGUCUACAGCAUGAUUAACCUCCUAGAUCUCACUUGUUCCAGGUCCAAGCAUUAUCUGGCCAGAGUGCAUUGCCAAUCCACCAUGCCAGCCAUCCCACCAGAGGCAUCUUGAUGUCAGCAUUGAUGUGACCCAGAAAUGAGGGGAGAGUGACGGGAAUUCACUGUGCUGGGGAAUUCAGUGCUGCAGAUAGUGAAACACCUUCCAAACCAGAAGAGGUUGCUCUGUGUUCCAAUAUUACUGAUGGUAAAGGAAAUGUUGUGUGAAAUGUUCUGGUCAGCCAAGGAAGUGGACCAUGCAGCAUGGGAUGGCAGCCCCUUCGUGAUCCCUGAGGCUUUGGUGCUGGGAUCAGCACAAGGAAGGACGCCAGAGGAAAAAGUCAGGUUCAGGUUGGAAAUGUAUUGCUCAGAGGAAGCAGAUGGAAGAAGAGGUGUCUCUGAGUUUGAAUCAGCUUCUGUAUGAUCAUGGCUUAAUGAUCAUAAAUCCUCUGGGGCCUGCAACCUAACAAGGGAAUAAAGGAGGAAGCGCCGUCUCUCUCAGAUCAAAGUAAAGAGAAAAGCUGAGAUGUAAAGGAGACGAAAUGAGCUGCAGGCGGAACAAUAUGGAAACCCACUGCUGGGAAACCGUUUUUCCGAGCCAGAGAGGAGGCAGGGAAUUGUUCUGUGCAACCAUUCAGGAGCCUCCGCUCCCACGCAUUCUCCCGCUUGCUGACACCCUGCCAGGACCGCAAAGGAGGAAUUGAUUUACAUGCACCCAUUGCUCUUUGCUCAAACUGACGGGACAGCUGACGUGGAGAAGUUAACCAGGAACAAGUGUUUCCCACCUGUGUGCAGCUGAACAUGGUGCACUUUGGUUUCAGUUCUGACGAAGUGCCGGUGAGCCUGACAGUGCAUCUGUUUUUCUAACUCUCUUGGUUAGUCCGAGGAGAGAUAUUCUCUCUCUUUGAAAACCCCCACUUCUAAUAAAAAUAAUUCAUUCCACCACUGAGUAAAACCUCAGAAUGUCCAAAUUCUC
ensembl:lncRNA